rnacentral:rRNA from 1 species
UGGUUAAAAAGCUCGUAGUUGGAUCUCAACAGCCUUGAAGCGGUUAACUUUGUAGUUUUACUGCUUUAUAGGCUGUGCUUUUGCUGGAGGUUUAGGGGUGCUCUUGAUCGAGUGUCUCUGGAUGCCAGCAGGUUUACUUUGAAAAAAUUAGAGUGCUCAAAGCAGGCUAAAAUGCCUGAAUAUUCGUGCAUGGAAUAAUAGAAUAGGAUGUCGAUCCUAUUUUGUUGGUUUUCGGGACUCGACAUAAUGAUAAAUAGGGACAGUCGGGGGCAUUUGUAUUCAAACGACAGAGGUGAAAUUCUUGGACCGUUUGAAGACAAACUACUGCGAAAGCAUUUGCCAAGAAUGUUUUCAUUAAUCAAGAACGAAAGUUAGAGGUUCGAAGGCGAUUAGAUACCGCCCUAGUUCUAACCAUAAACGAUGCCAGCUAGCGAUCUGCCUGCGUUUUUACUGUAGACUGGGCAGGAAGCUUCCGGGAAACCAAAGCAUUUGGGUUCCAGGGGAAGUAUGGUUGCAAAGCUGAAACUUAAAGGAAUUGACGGAAGGGCACCACCAGGAGUGGAGCCUGUGGCUUAAUUUGACUCAACACGGGAAAUCUCACCAGGCCCGGACACUGGAAGGAUUGACAGAUUGAGAGCUCUU